GGAUCAUUUCAAAGAGAGCUUCUGGGGCUGUGAAGCCAGGAGCUCUUAGAUCUAUAACCAAAGAUUGAAGUUCUCCAUAGGAUGCCACAGUCACGCAACAGUCUAGGCUUUUCUGAGGAAAUAUAAGA